UACGUAGGGUGCGAGCGUUAAUCGGAAUUACUGGGCGUAAAGCGUGCGCAGGCGGCUUUGCAAGACAGAUGUGAAAUCCCGGGGCUCAACCUGGGAACUGCAUUUGUGACUGCAAGGCUAGAGUACGGCAGAGGGGGAUGGAAUUCCGCGUGUAGCAGUGAAAUGCGUAGAUAUGCGGAGGAACACCAAUGGCGAAGGCAAUCCCCUGGGCCUGUACUGACGCUCAUGCACGAAAGCGUGGGGAGCAAACAGG
rnacentral:rRNA from 1 species